AAUGACCUGCUUAGAGUUCUGCACCCCCCAGCAUGGAGAGCAGAGCGCAAAGAUUUCUUCCGGACUCCCACAUUCCCCUUGGAAUCCAAGAACUGGUCUACUGUCACAACACUUUAGUACCCUCUUCUCCCAAGGAGGCAGCAGAAACUGGGGUAAUCACAACGGUCAACAGCAGCAAAGGCAGCACUUUCUGAUUUACUUGACUGCUAUGGAUGCCACCUCUCUCCACGCCUCAGUUUAAUAUCUGUAAGUUUGGACAGGAGGUGUCCUGGUGAUCAGCUGGAGCUCGGGGGAGCUGUUGCUGAAAUUAACUUGAGUGCUUUGGAGAGAGAUUUACAUGGCAGAGUGGAGCCAGGGCUGCUCCUUUGGCAGGCACUGCUGUGCCACUGUGGAGGCGCCCCUGCUUUUCCCAUGCUUUGCAGUGUCUUUAAAGGCCUUUGGAGCCAUGCCCAGGCUCAGCCCCAUCCUGGUGUCCCCCUGUGUCCGUUUUGCCACUGCCCGGCUACUUCACUUGGCCAUGGGCCUUACCAGCUUGCAGACAAACCCGUCCAUCUACGCCUCCCAGCGCAGCUUGGCCCACUUGCAAGCACUUACAGAGGGUUUCAGAAGGAACAUGUCUGCCAUCUGUGUUUGGAGACUGUGUCCCAGACUUUUGAGCUCACAUUAGUCAUGGCCACAGACGGGACUGGAGUCCUGCCCACUGGAGUCCCAAAGGACCUGAAAGCCUCUGAAGUUCACUCCUUCGGCCCCACUCCCUUC
ensembl:lncRNA LAMTOR5-AS1 LAMTOR5 and SLC16A4 antisense RNA 1